GUUCUUGCUUUGACAGCACAUAUACUACAGUUGGAAUGGUACAGAGAUUAGCAUAGCCCCUGCAUAAGGAUGACAUGCAAAUUCAUGAAGAUUCCAUAUUUUU
ensembl:snRNA U6 U6 spliceosomal RNA